UACGUAGGGUGCGAGCGUUGUCCGGAAUUAUUGGGCGUAAAGGGCUCGUAGGCGGUCUGUUACGUCGGGAGUGAAAACUCAGGGCUCAACCCUGAGCCUGCUUCCGAUACGGGCAGACUAGAGGUAUGCAGGGGAGAAUGGAAUUCCUGGUGUAGCGGUGAAAUGCGCAGAUAUCAGGAGGAACACCAGUGGCGAAGGCGGUUCUCUGGGCAUUACCUGACGCUGAGGAGCGAAAGUGUGGGGAGCGAACAGG
rnacentral:rRNA from 1 species